rnacentral:rRNA from 1 species
GACGAACGCUGGCGGCGUGCUUAACACAUGCAAGUCGAACGGAAAGGCCCUGCUUUUGUGGGGUGCUCGAGUGGCGAACGGGUGAGUAACACGUGAGUAACCUGCCCUUGACUUUGGGAUAACUUCAGGAAACUGGGGCUAAUGCCGGAUAGGAGCUCCUGCUGCAUGGUGGGGGUUGGAAAGUUUCGGCGGUUGGGGAUGGACUCGCGGCUUAUCAGCUUGUUGGUGGGGUAGUGGCUUACCAAGGCUUUGACGGGUAGCCGGCCUGAGAGGGUGACCGGCCACAUUGGGUCUGAGAUACGGCCCAGACUCCUACGGGAGGCAGCAGUGGGGAAUAUUGCACAAUGGGCGGAAGCCUGAUGCAGCAACGCCGCGUGCGGGAUGACGGCCUUCGGGUUGUAAACCGCUUUCGCCUGUGACGAAGCGUGAGUGACGGUAAUGGGUAAAGAAGCACCGGCUAACUACGUG